rnacentral:rRNA from 1 species
GACGAACCGUGCGAACGUUGUUCGGAAUCACUGGGCUUAAAGGGUGCGUAGGCGGGCAUUCAAGUCAGGGGUGAAAUCCUCCAGCUUAACUGGAGAACUGCCUCUGAUACUGGAUGCCUCGAGUGAGGUAGGGGCGUGCGGAACUGAUGGUGGAGCGGUGAAAUGUGUUGAUAUCAUCAGGAACUCCGGUGGCGAAAGCGGCGCGCUGGACCUUAACUGACGCUGAGGCACGAAAGCCAGGGGAGCGAACGGG